rnacentral:rRNA from 1 species
AUUGAACGCUGGCGGUAUGCUUAACACAUGCAAGUCGAACGGUAACAGAACUAGCUUGCUAGUUGCUGACGAGUGGCGGACGGGUGAGUAACGCGUAGGAAUCUGCCUGAUAGCGGGGGACAACUCGGAGAAAUCCGAGCUAAUACCGCAUACGCCCUACGGGGGAAAGACGGGGAUCUUCGGACCUGUCACUAUCAGAUGAGCCUGCGUUAGAUUAGCUAGUUGGUAGGGUAAUGGCCUACCAAGGCGACGAUCUAUAACUGGUCUGAGAGGAUGACCAGUCACACUGGGACUGAGACACGGCCCAGACUCCUACGGGAGGCAGCAGUGGGGAAUAUUGGACAAUGGGCGCAAGCCUGAUCCAGCAAUACCGCGUGUGUGAAGAAGGCCUUAGGGUUGUAAAGCACUUUCAAUUGGGAAGAAAAGCAUUCGGUUAAUACCCGAGUGUCUUGACGGUACCUUUACAAGAAGCACCGGCUAACUCCG